UACACAGCCUACCAACCAACUUGGAUCCACCAGAGAAUGAGGCCGGAAGAGUAGGAAAGGUUUCAGAGGGUGGUUGCCCUUCUUCCGGCCAAUGAUUUCCGAUCAACAACAACAACCCUCCUUCAUCCAUCCAUUCAUUCAUUCACGCGCCUCGUGUGUGUGUGUAUGUUUGUGUGUGUGAGAGAGAGAGAGAAAUAGAGAAUGAGAUCCAUCUCCAUUUUAUGGGGGUUUGGAUCUUGAUUAUUUUAAGGUUGUGUUUUGGGUUUGGUUUGACUUGAUAUUUUUGCACUUCCUCCUCCUCCUCUUCAUCAUCAUCAUUAUGAUAAUAAUAAUAAUAAUAAUAUUUUUUGGUAACGAAUUAUAUGAGGCUGUGAUGAUAAUUAUCUCAUAGAUAUAUAAUAUUAUAUUUGGGUCCAAGUUGGAAAAUGGGGCAAGUUUAUGAAAAAUGAUUCGUAGCUUGGCUGGGCAAUUUUCAGAGGAUGGUGAAUUUUAUUGCAACCCUGAAAUUGCAGCCAUGGCGGGUCACUAAUUACUGACUUGCUCCGUUUUGUAAACCAGAUCUGAGCCUCAUUAUUAUUAUUUGUAUACGGAGUAUAAAGUUAUAUAUAUCUAUUAUUAUCUUCCAUCUAAAACUAGAGGUCUUGACAAUUUUAUAGUGGUCAUUUGCAGCGACGGUGGUUUACUUUUUGUCAUCAGAGACCAAAACGAACACAUUGACAUUAAACUUUCAUUAGCUUAUCGUAUUACCAGUUUUGGGGGUGCUAUAGAUGAAUAACACUGAACUACACAUAUUUCUUUUUUUUACUUCCAAAAAUUUCCGAACACUUUAUAUAAACAAGCUCUUAUUAAAUUAAACGAGUAUGGUACACGUGGAGCUUCCUAACCUUUUCAUCAGCCCUGGCUCGGCUGUGGUUCGUCCUAACCAAAAACUUGAUAUUGCUUGGAUGUUAUUUUUUCCUUGGAGUACGAAUCGCACAAGGGCUGAUGCUUCCGAGAUGUGUGAAGCUUUGUUAUUAUGCUGCUUGUCGGACUUGGAAAGAGAACAUGAAACAAAAUAUAUUUUCAAAAUUUUGAGAAGUCAAAAUCGGGAAUCCAAGAGACCGCUUAGCCUUUUCUUCUUGUCCUAGGAGUAGCGCAUCUGUUUUCGGUACAGAGGGCCAUAAGUUCGAAUCCUGUCAAAGGGUUGUAGGAUGAUAUUUAUUUUUCCUGUAUGAUGCCUCAUAUAGUAGUAUCUGUAUAAUCAUUUCAUUAUUUUUUUCUUGUUAUGGUUGCUAUAUAUGAUAUUUAUGUCUAAUAUAUAUUUGCACUCUAGUAUAAUAUUCCAUGUGUUGACUUUUUAGUUGCAUUUGAUACUUUAACUUGAUGAAUGAUCAUCGUUCUAUGUA